UAGCAUAUCAAUAAGCGGAGGAAAAGAAACUAACAAAGGAUUCCCCUAGUAACUGCGAGUGAAGCGGGAAAAGCUCAAAUUUAAAAUCUGGCAGCUUUGGUUGUCCGAGUUGUAAUCUAAAGAAGCGUUUUCCGCGCUGGACCGUGUACAAGUCUCUUGGAAUAGAGCGUCAUAGAGGGUGAGAAUCCCGUCUUUGACACGGACUACCAGUGCUUUGUGAUGCGCUCUCAAAGAGUCGAGUUGUUUGGGAAUGCAGCUCAAAAUGGGUGGUAAAUUCCAUCUAAAGCUAAAUAUUGGCGAGAGACCGAUAGCGAACAAGUACCGUGAGGGAAAGAUGAAAAGCACUUUGGAAAGAGAGUUAAACAGUACGUGAAAUUGCUGAAAGGGAAACGAUUGAAGUCAGUCGCGUUUUCUAGAACUCAACCAGGCUUGCUUGGUGUAUUUUCUAGUCAACGGGUCAACAUCAGUUUUGAUUGUAGGAAAAAGAUUAGAGAAAUGUGGCAUCUUCGGAUGUGUUAUAGUCUCUAGUUGUAUACUACGGUUGGGACUGAGGAACUCAGCACGCGUAAGCUGUGCUUAGGAUGUUGGCGUAAUGGCUUUAAACGACCCGUCUUGAAACACGGACCAAGGAGUCUAACAAACCUGCGAGUAUUUGGGUGGUAAACCCGAGUGCGUAAUGAAAGUGAAAGUUGGGAUCUUUGUCAUGGAGAGCACCGACGCCCAGGUCAGACCUUUUGUGACGACUCUGCGGUAGAGCAUGUUUGUUGGGACCCGAAAGAUGGUGAACUAUGCCUGAAUAGGGUGAAGCCAGAGGAAACUCUGGUGGAGGCUCGUAGCGAUUCUGACGUGCAAAUCGAUCGUCAAAUUUGGGUAUAGGGGCGAAAGACUAAUCGAACCAUCUAGUAGCUGGUUCCUGCCGAAU
rnacentral:rRNA from 1 species